ACGGGAGGCAGCAGUGAGGAAUAUUGGUCAAUGGAGGCAACUCUGAACCAGCCAUCUCGCGUGAAGGGAUACGGCCCUACGGGUCUUAAACUUCUUUUAUAGGGGGAUAAAGUGAGCCACGUGUGGCUUUUUGUAGGUACCCUAUGAAUAAGCAUCGGCUAACUCCGUGCCAGCAGCCGCGGUAAUACGGAGGAUCCGAGUGUUAUCCGGAUUUAUUGGGUUUAAAGGGUGCGUAGGCGGGACGUCAAGUCAGUGGUGAAAUGGUGCGGCUCAACCGUAGCAUUGCCGUUGAAACUGGCGUUCUUGAGUGCGAAUGAGGUGGGCGGAAUGUGUCAUGUAGCGGUGAAAUGCAUAGAUAUGACACAGAACACCGAUUGCGAAGGCGGCUCACUGGGACGCAACUGACGCUGAGGCACGAAAGUGCGGGGAUCGAACAGGAUUAGAUACCCUGGUA
rnacentral:rRNA from 1 species